ensembl:antisense Gm11973 predicted gene 11973
ACCAGGAACUCGCUCUUGAGCGCGCGGCGCGGCCCGCCGCCCUCCUCGGCGCCCGCCGCCAGCUGCUCGGGGCUGCUGGGACCCAGCUGCGCGUAGUGCUCGAUGAAGUCGCCCAGCGAGUCGCGGAACUCGGCGGCCACCGCCAUCGACAGCGUGAGGCGGCUCUUGGAGCCGCCCGCGCCCACCUCGGCGAUCUUGAGGAAGCGGCCCUUGGCGUUCUGCUUCACGUCCAGGAGGAGGGGUUCUUGCCUGUUUGUGUGUCGGUGCAUUGCAUGCCCACUGAGGGUGUGAUGGCUAAAGAAACUCCAUUUUGUGUUGGGAGUUCAUCUUGGUACCAAAUAGCCAUUUGUCUCUGACUCAAGUUCCUGGAAGACAUUCAAGGACUGUUCUGAAGUCACCUUGACCCUCCAUCUAAUCCGGGUAGAGCAGGACAGCCCCCAUGGGUUUUACCUUUAAAUGUCCUUCCUGCUCCCUCAUCUGACUCUGAUUGAGUGCAGCCUUGCCAGAAGUUCUAAUAAAUUCUGCUAAUUAUAAUCAGAA